rnacentral:rRNA from 1 species
AUUGAACGCUGGCGGCAGGCCUAACACAUGCAAGUCGAACGAGUGGCGGACGGGUGAGUAAUGUCUGGGAAACUGCCUGAUGGAGGGGGAUAACUACUGGAAACGGUAGCUAAUACCGCAUACCAUCGGAUGUGCCCAGAUGGGAUUAGCUAGUAGGUGGGGUAAAGGCUCACCUAGGCGACGAUCCCUCGCUGGUCUGAGAGGAUGAACAGCCACACUGGUAGUGAGACACGGUCCAGACUCCUACGGGAGGCAGCAGUGGGGAAUAUUGCACAAUGGGCGCAAGCCUGAUGCAGACAUACCGCGUGUAGGAAGAAGGGCUUCGGGGUGUAAAGUACUUUCAGCUGGGAGGCGUUACCCGCAGAAGAAGCACCGGCUAACGCCGUGCCAGCAGCCGCGGUAAUUC